rnacentral:rRNA from 1 species
CCUACGGGGGGCAGCAGUGAGGAAUAUUGGUCAAUGGGCGGAAGCCUGAACCAGCCAAGUCGCGUGUGGGAUGAAGGCCCUACGGGUCGUAAACCGCUUUUGCACGGGGAUAACACCCUCCACUUGUGGAGGUCUGCAGGUACCGUGCGAAUAAGGGCCGGCAAAUUCCGUGCCAGCAGCCGCGGAAAUACGGAAGGCCCGAGCGUUAUCGGGAUUAGUGGGGCUUAACGGGAGCGUGGGGGGGCGUGAAAGUCAGCUGGAAAAUCGCGCGGCUCAACCGCGCCCCGCAGUUGAAACUGGACGCCUUGAGUGCGUGAGAGGCAGGCAGAAUUCGUGGUGUAGCGGUGAAAU